ACUCCUACGGGAGGCAGCAGUGGGGAAUAUUGCACAAUGGACGCAAGUCUGAACCAGCCAUGUCGCGUGCAGGAAGACUGCCCUAUGGGUUGUAAACUGCUUUUAUACGGGAAGAAAUAUAGCUACGUGUAGUUAUUUGCCGGUACCGUAUGAAUAAGCAUCGGCUAACUCCGUGCCAGCAGCCGCGGUAAUACGGAGGAUGCGAGCGUUAUCCGGAUUCAUUGGGUUUAAAGGGUGCGUAGGCGGAAGUAUAAGUCAGGGGUGAAAGUUUGUGGCUCAACCAUAAAAUUGCCUUUGAUACUGUAUUUCUUGAGUACAUUUGAGGUAGGCGGAAUGUGUUGUGUAGCGGUGAAAUGCUUAGAUAUAACACAGAACACCGAUUGCGAAGGCAGCUUACUAAACUGUAACUGACGCUGAUGCACGAAAGCUGGGGAUCGAACAGGAUUAGAUACCCUGGUAGGACAGAG
rnacentral:rRNA from 1 species